rnacentral:tRNA from 1 species
GUGCUUUGGAAGCUAUUGCAGCGUUAGGCUUUUAACCUGGAGAAGUGAGCGUAAUUUUCACCCAAGGU